CGGACACCCCUCCGUGCCCACCGAGGCGGCCCCCGGGCGCGGCAGCGCGCUCGGCCCCGCCGGGCGGUCUCCGGCGAGGGCAGUGGCGGCUCGGGCGCGCCUCGCUGCAGCCGGAGCCAUUCAUCCCCCCCGCCCCUCUGCAGCCCCUUUGUUCGGGCUGAGAGUAACGCCGUGAAUUAAAAGAAAUGACAAUAUUUCGUAUCUGCUGGGACGGCCCGGAGAAGGGCCCUUGAGGCUGGCAAAAAUCAGGCGGAUCAUUCAUCGUGCCACCCCGCACCUGUGGGCUUGGCAUUGAAAACCCCGCGGACCUCUUCCUAUUCAACUUAAUUAUUCCCCGAAGGCGCACAAUGGUUGAAAUGGAGCAGGCAGCUGCAGUCCAGGACCCAGAAGCACAAAAAGAACAAGUUUGAAAUACCAGGUGCAUCCGAGAGAACCACGACAGGGAUUGAUAUGUUAUAGCCCAGGACAUGAACCUAGCAAUAAAGAUAUCAUUGCGAUUGUUUGCGGCUUCCACGCCAUGUAAAGCCGGAGGCGCCGGAGCAGGCUGCUUUCUGGCAGCAGAGGCUUUGCCUCCCCGGGCUCCCCCGGCGCCCUCCGCCAAACCCGAGCACCUGUUGGCCAGACCCCGGCCCCGUCGUGGGAAUCGCCUCCCGCCCACGCUUCCAGGUCCCGGCAGCGCGGUUUGUUGUGGAGUUAUUUAGGACCAUUCCCACCGGCUGCGGGAUGCUUUGGAAAGCGGGAGGUUUACCAGGGGACACUCAACUGGUGUUUGUUCGACCUCGCAGCUGGUACUCGGUGCCCAGCGAGAGAUGCGUGAAUGAAAGGAGGGAUGAGAUCCCGGGCUGGGGGAGGCUUCACGCCCCGCGUCUCGCCGGGCGCCCGCCCUACUGCCGGCAGAUGAACGGCCUGGGAACCGCGGUGGGGCCGGUUCACAGUACCCAGGCAGCCCUGCCUGCGCACCGCGCUGCUCGGCGGGCACUCACAGCCCGCCUGGCUCCUCGCUGCCCGUGCUG